rnacentral:rRNA from 1 species
ACGAAGUCUUCGGACUGAGUGGCGGACGGGUGAGUAACACGUGAGAACCUGCCUUAAGGUCGGGGAUAACAGUUGGAAACGACUGCUAAUACCGGAUGUGCCUACGGGUGAAAGAUUUAUUGCCUAAAGAUGGGCUCGCGUCUGAUUAGCUAGUUGGAGUGGUAAUGGCACACCAAGGCGACGAUCAGUAGCUGGUCUGAGAGGAUGAUCAGCCACACUGGGACUGAGACACGGCCCAGACUCCUACGGGAGGCAGCAGUGGGGAAUUUUCCGCAAUGGGCGAAAGCCUGACGGAGCAAGACCGCGUGAGGGAGGAAGGCUCUUGGGUUGUAAACCUCUUUUGUCAGGGAAGAACACAAUGACGGUACCUGACGAAUCAGCAUCGGCUAACUCCGUGCCAGCAGCCGCGGUAAUACGGAGGAUGCAAGCGUUAUCCGGAAUUAUUGGGCGUAAAGCGUCCGCAGGUGGUUGUACAAGUCUGCUGUCAAAGCGCGGAGCUUAACUCCGUAAAGGCGGUGGAAACUGUGCGACUAGAGUUCGGUAGGGGUCGCGGGAAUUCCCAGUGUAGCGGUGAAAUGCGUAGAUAUUGGGAAGAACACCGGUGGCGAAAGCGCGCGACUGG